GGACACAGGCCGGGCGCGGCAACGCUCUCAGCGCCUCGCUCGCAUAAAGCAGCUCGUCAGUCCUCUCCUCCCCGCUUCUCUCCUCGCCGCUCCCAUGGCGGCCGCCCCCUCGAGCUCGAGGGACCCGCCCCCGCGCCCUCAUAUCUCCAUCUUCGCAAGGGCGUCCCGCCGGCGCCCACCUAUCACGCGCUCCCCGAGGGCGUCCCGGCCAAUGUAAGGUGCUGGAGGGCGCCAACGGCAGACAGGGUGGAGCCAGGCAUUCUUCUCUACUACUAACGACGAGAGGAGGGGAGGGGAUAUACAUACGGUCGGACGAGGAGGAGGAGGAGGCGUAUUGUACGGAUCUAUGGCCGUUCUCGGCCCCGCUCGCCGUGUUUUGGGUGAUUCUUGUAAGCUUCUUCUUUUUGCUUUUUUUAUGUUCUAUUGUAAUUUGACGAUGGGAGAGAAAGGUGGGAGGUUGGAUGCUAAUUUGGUGAGUUCUUGUAUGGUCAAAUGUGGUUAGAUUAUAAACCUUGUUUCAGGAUAGGCCCUCGUUGAUUGCCAAGUUUCUUACCAAUUUUGUAAUCCCCACUUUGCACGGAAACCUUGAUUAAUGAAAAUGGUUAACUUGGUGAA